rnacentral:rRNA from 1 species
CCCUAUGGGCGCACAAGCGGGGGUUGAGGGGCAGUAUGGCCCAGGCCGAGGCCGACGCCGCGCGCGGAGCGAUCGGCGACACGCGGCUGAUGUUGGCCGAGGCCGCCAAAAUGGCCUAUUUCGACUACUAUCUGGCCCGCCGCCGGUUGGAAGUGAACGACGAGACGGCCGAGCUGCUGGGGCAGUUUCGCCGGACCGCAAAGAACCGGUACGAAUCGAACCUGGCGACCGAGCAGGACGUGCUGCAGACGGACGUGGAAUUGGCGGGAGAGC